rnacentral:rRNA from 1 species
UACGAAGGGGGCUAGCGUUGCUCAGAAUCACUGGGCGUAAAGCGCACGUAGGCGGAUCUUUAAGUCAGGGGUGAAAUCCUGGAGCUCAACUCCAGAACUGCCUUUGAUACUGGGGAUCUCGAGUCCGGGAGAGGUGAGUGGAACUGCGAGUGUAGAGGUGAAAUUCGUAGAUAUUCGCAAGAACACCAGUGGCGAAGGCGGCUCACUGGCCCGGUACUGACGCUGAGGUGCGAAAGCGUGGGGAGCAAACAGG